rnacentral:rRNA from 1 species
UACGUAGGGGGCGAGCGUUGUCCGGAGUUACUGGGCGUAAAGCGCACGCAGGCGGUCUGUUAAGUUUGGAGUGACAGUUGGUGGCUCAACCACCAAAGUGCUUUGAAAACUGAUAGACUUGAGGGCUUCAGAGGGACACGGAAUUCCGGGUGGAGUGGUGAAAUGCGUAGAGAUCCGGAGGAACACCGACGGCGUAGGCAGCGCCCUGGACGACACCUGACGCUGAGGCACGAAAGCUAGGGGAGCAAACAGG